GGAAGUAAAAGUCGUAACAAGGUCUCCGUUGGUGAACCAGCGGAGGGAUCAUUACCGAGUUAUACAACUCAUCAACCCUGUGAACAUACCUAAAACGUUGCUUCGGCGGGAACAGACGGCCCUGUAACAACGGGCCGCCCCCGCCAGAGGACCCCUAACUCUGUUUUUAUAAUGUUUUUCUGAGUAAACAAGCAAAUAAAUUAAAACUUUCAACAACGGAUCUCUUGGCUCUGGCAUCGAUGAAGAACGCAGCGAAAUGCGAUAAGUAAUGUGAAUUGCAGAAUUCAGUGAAUCAUCGAAUCUUUGAACGCACAUUGCGCCCGCCAGUAUUCUGGCGGGCAUGCCUGUUCGAGCGUCAUUACAACCCUCAGGCCCCCGGGCCUGGCGUUGGGGAUCGGCGGAAGCCCCCUGUGGGCACACGCCGUCCCUCAAAUACAGUGGCGGUCCCGCCGCAGCUUCCAUUGCGUAGUAGCUAACACCUCGCAACUGGAGAGCGGCGCGGCCAUGCCGUAAAACACCCAACUUCUGAAUGUUGACCUCGAAUCAGGUAGGAAUACCCGCUGAACUUAAGCAUAUCAAUAAGCGGAGG
rnacentral:rRNA from 1 species